rnacentral:rRNA from 1 species
AGGGGCGUGCGGGUGCUACCAUGCAGUCGACGAGAAGUCCGGGCGCAACUCGGAUGAGUACAGUGGCGCACGGGUGAGUAACGCGUGGGUAAUCUGCCUUUAAGUUUGGGAUAACACUGCGAAAGCGGUGCUAAUACCGGAUAAGCUCACGGUUUGAAAUGUCUGUGGGAAAAGGUGGCCUCUGACUCAGGCUACCGCUUAAAGAUGAGCCCGCGUACCAUUAGCUAGUCGGUAGGGUAAUGGCCUACCAAGGCUACGAUGGUUAGCUGGCCUGAGAGGGCGGCCAGCCACACUGGAACUGAGACACGGUCCAGACUCCUACGGGAGGCAGCGGUGGGGAAUAUUGCGCAAUGGGGGAAACCCUGACCCAACGACGCCGUGUGAGUGAUGAAAGCUUUCGGGUCGUAAAGCUCUGUCGGAUGGGACGAAUAAAGGCUGUGUGAAUAAUGCACUCUGAUGACGGUACCGUCCAAGGAAGCACCAGCUAACUCCGUGCCAGCAGCCGCGGUAAUACGGAGGGUGCAAGCGUUGUUCGGAAUUAUUGGGCGUAAAGCACGUGUAGGCGGGCGUGUAUGUCAGAUGUGAAAGCCCUCGGCUCAACUGAGGAAGUGCAUCUGAAACUGCAUGUCUUGAGUACGAGAGAGGAGAGUGGAAUUCCCAGUGUAUAGGUGAAAUUCAUAGAUAUAGGGAAGAACACCGGCCGCUAAAGCGGCUCUCUGGCUCGAUACUGACUCUGACACAUGAAAGCGUGCGGAGCAAACAGGAUUAGAUACCCUGGUAGUCCACGCUGUAAACGAUGUGCACUAAGUGUUGGAGGUGAUAAAACUUUCAGUGCCUCACCUAACUCAUUAAGUGCACCGCCUGGCGGAUUACGGUCGCAAGAUUAGAACUCACACGAAUUGACUG